rnacentral:rRNA from 1 species
GGAGGUAGUGACAAUAAAUCACAAUGCGGGACUAUUCGUCUUGCAAUUGGAUUGAGAACAAUGUACAACUCUUAUCGAUAAGCCAUUGGAGGGCAAGUCUGGUGCCAGCAGCCGCGGUAAUUCCAGCUCCAAUAGCGUAUAUUAACGUUGUUGCAGUUAAAAAGCUCGUAGUUGAAGUGUGGGUGGUGCUGUCUGAAUGACUUCGGUUAGUCAGAUGAUCACUACCCCCUUCCAGUAUCCAAUAGUGGGUAUUCAGUUACUUACUAUUGUGUGUUGGUCAUUUACUGUGAGAAAAUUAGAGUGUUCAAAGCAGGCGUUUGCUUGAAUAGAUUAGCAUGGAAUAAUAAUUGAAGGCUUUCGUGUUCGAUUUGAUUGGUUUGUUCAUGGAAGCAAGGUUAAAAGGAACAGUUGGGGGUAUUCAUAUUCACUAGUUAGAGGUGAAAUUCUCGGAUUUAUGGAAGAUGAACAAGUGCGAAAGCA